CUACGGGGCGCAGCAGUGGGGAAUAUUGGGCAAUGGGCGCAAGCCUGACCCAGCAACGCCGCGUGAGGGAAGAAGGCUUUCGGGUUGUAAACCUCUGUCCUUGGUGACGAAACAAAUGACGGUAGCCAAGGAGGAAGCCCCGGCUAACUACGUGCCAGCAGCCGCGGUAAUACGUAGGGGGCGAGCGUUGUCCGGAAUUACUGGGCGUAAAGGGUGCGUAGGUGGCCUUUUAAGUUGGAUGUGAAAUACCCGGGCUUAACUUGGGGGGUGCAUCCAAAACUGGAGGGCUAGAGUGCAGGAGAGGAAAGCGGAAUUCCUAGUGUAGCGGUGAAAUGCGUAGAUAUUAGGAGGAACACCAGUGGCGAAGGCGGCUUUCUGGACUGUAACUGACACUGAGGCACGAAAGCGUGGGGAGCAAACAGGAUUAGAUACCCGUGUAGUC
rnacentral:rRNA from 1 species